rnacentral:rRNA from 1 species
UUGAAGGUUGGGUAACACUAACUGGAGGACCGAACCGACUAAUGUUGAAAAAUUAGCGGAUGACCUGUGGCUGGGGGUGAAAGGCCAAUCAAACCGGGAGAUAGCUGGUUCUCCCCGAAAGCUAUUUAGGUAGCGCCUCGUGAAUUCAUCUCCGGGGGUAGAGCACUGUUUCGGCUAGGGGGCCAUCCCGGCUUACCAACCCGAUGCAAACUGCGAAUACCGGAGAAUGUUAUCACGGGAGACACACGGCGGGUGCUAACGUCCGUCGUGAAGAGGGAAACAACCCAGACCGCCAGCUAAGGUCCCAAAGUCAUGGUUAAGUGGGAAACGAUGUGGGAAGGCCCAGACAGCCAGGAUGUUGGCUUAGAAGCAGCCAUCAUUUAAAGAAAGCGUAAUAGCUCACUGGUCGAGUCGGCCUGCGCGGAAGAUGUAACGGGGCUAAACCAUGCA